UAAAGGAUUUAUGACCGGGGUGUUUAAGCUUCAAUUCCCUGUACUUAAUGCAGUCUUCCACAUCUGAUGAUGGGCCAAGUAGUUGGACAACCAGGUCGAAUGUUGUCUUCUUUCUACGUGAUGCUGAAGCAUAAAAAGGAGAAGCUUACCAGAAUGACGAGAGGGUUUCACUUUCAGAAGUGUACACCCUUCCUCCAUGGCAUUGCUGACCUCAUCAUUUGAAUCAGUACAUUCAUCUACUGGCAGAUGACUAGAGUCCCUAAUUUGAUCCAUUGGUUCAUCAUUUUCCUUGGUUAUUGUAAUAGCUGCAAAAAAGGCCAGAUGAUCUGAAAUGGUGAAGUGGAGGUCCCUCAGGUCUUGAGGAGGGAUCAUUUGGGCCAUCAAAAAAGACCAACCCUCCAUUUUCGAAAAACCACCAGACAUCUUGACCCUGUAACAUGAAAUCUGCAAUUCUCUCCAGAUGGCAUUGGACAAAGGAAGGUCGCUUAUUGAUUAGUUCUGCUGAAAAUGUAGAUCUUGGUCUUUCUGGCAACAGCCUUGCCUGCCUACUUAUUGUUGAAUCCUGUAUUUUAAAUGACUCUGGUUUAUCAGGUUUUGAUAGGGGUUUAGACAGCCUUUUUUCAAUUUCUGUAGGGAAUUUGAUGAAGUGGCCAACCUGCAUCUGUCAUCCAAAUCUUGAGCAGAAACAUGGAAGCAAUGGAGUAGAUUGGUAUGUUGUUCAGCAUGAACUCCACAAAGACAUGGGUAAUUUCCUCCUCGUUGUUGACCACCUUCAAACUGCCUGGCAGGUCCAUCUCCGCUAAAAAGUCGUAAGCAGUCCUGUAUUUCGUAGUCGUCAUGUUUGAUUGGGGUGUCUAUAUCUUCCAAGUCCUCCAGUCUAGUUUCUACAUAUGUCAUUUGUUCUUCAUCUUUACAACCUGCAUUUAAUAUUUGAAUGAAUUAAUUUUAUAAGUGGCAUCAUGGACAGGUCUCCAAGUUGGUUUUUUUUGGGUUCAAAAAUUAAUAAAAUCAUAGAUUCUGAGUUCUACAUUCUUUUUCUUGUGCAUUUUUAUU